rnacentral:rRNA from 1 species
GACGGGGGGAGCGAGCGUUGUUCGGAAUUACUGGGCGUAAAGGGCGUCUAGGCGGAGCGGUAAGUCAGAAGUGAAAUCUCCCGGCUUAACUGGGAGCCUGCUUUUGAAACUGUCGUUCUUGAGUGCGGAAGAGGUACGGGGAAUUCUCAGUGUAGCGGUGAAAUGCGUAGAUAUUGGGAGGAACGCCGGUGGCGAAGGCGCCGUACUGGUCUAGCACUGACGCUGAAGCGCGAAAGCGUGGGGAG